GUCUUCUUCGUCUAGUGGUUAGGACACCGGGUUUUCAUCUCGGCAACACGAGUUCAAUUCUCGUAGAAGAUA
rnacentral:tRNA from 1 species